AGGCCAAGAAAGCGGAAACGAUUGAGAUAGAGUGCGCUCAUUCAGAAGAGAGUUUGCACACGGUCACAGAUGGUGUGAGAGAAAGAAGAAGAAAAAAAUUGCGUUUAUGAAACCCCUGUCACAGCCCAUUGGGUUACAAAAUGCCUCAGAGAAUGUGGCCAUCGUUGGUUUUAGGGUCCAUUCCUAAUUGCCCCUUGCUUGAGUGGAUUGGUCAGCCACUUCAGAAAUCAGUGACUACCCCAGAAGGAUCCCUCUGCUGGGAAACUCAUUCCGAGCUCCUGUGGUCAGAAAUUUAAUGAAGGGAGCCAGAUGCUUUUUCCUUGGACCCUCUGAGUGGUUGAAGGCUCAGUCACCCAAUCAUCCAAAAAAAGCAAUUGGCAAGCGGUGACCUUAGGGAAUGAUUCUGCAGAAGUUGGUAAGGUCUGGAAUGCUCUGCCUAAUGGCAACUACAAACUCAACAGAAAUCUCCAAAAAGGAACUGGGUGAACAGUUAAAGGAUAAAAAUUUGUGAUGGUUUUGGUCAAAGAGUAGAGCAGGAAGACAAACACUUCGAAAGAUCUAGUACACAGUCCAUGCCCUGAAUGGCCUUUUCUUGCACUGCACUAUUUGAGGAUUUGUCAAUUGGCAGCAACUUAAGACCACAUGCACAAAGCAUUUAAUGAACACAUUCACUCAGGACUGGAGGCCAAUGUAGAAAUUAUAAAGGCAUUAGAAAACAAAGAAUUGGAAGUGAAAAAUGAAGAAAGUUUGAUAGUGUUCACUAAUAUUUUCUUUGAAACAAAGCUCUCCCAGUGUGCUGAGGGAUUUCCCCAAGAGUUGAGUGUGGACAUAAGUUACUGAGAGAUUUGUUCUGUCCUGAUAUUCACCCGAGGGAAACAGCUGCUUGCUCACAGAGUCAGAAACAUCACUGAAACCAUGAUUAGCUAGAAAUCACAGUCUAACAUGCUCGG